GCGGUGUGGGUCUGCUCUGACUGAGACUGAAUACUGUGAGCGCUGUGGGACCCGCUGCUCGCUGAAGACAGUAACUGAAGAACAUUUUAGGAUCAAAUGAAGACUUCCAAGAGGGUAUUUGGCCCAUCACAUCUCCACCAUCCUCUUCCAGCUGCAGAAACAACAGAACAAGGAUGAAGCACUUCAUAGGUCACUGACCCUUGUUGGUAGCACCUACAUCAACUGCUCCAAGAUGAUUAGCUCCACAAUUUCGUCCUUGCUAUGCGAUUCAGGUUUCACCUAGCAUCGAUAAAGGCCUUUCAGGCGAUAAGUCUCUUUUGGUGUCUCUCCUGCUGGUAUGAACCUCCCCCUGAAUCGCUGGCAAUAGGUUUCAGAGGAUAUGUUCAACUUUGCAAGCAGUGCCGCCCUCAGGUCUGGAUACAAGUUUGACAUUUGAAGACUUUGACUGUACAGAACACAACUAUUGUGAUCGUAGCCCAGUUCUCUUUGACACCUUCACUUUCUUGCUUGCAGGUGAGGGUAGAUAUGCUCGGACAAGGUUGUGAGUUGUAAGAAAAAGCAAUGGCAAACCACAAUAGCACAUUCAACAUUCAUUCAGUGCAAGGGUGCUUAUCUAGUGAAAAGUGUCAAGAAAAUACCAAAAUUUUAAGAAAAAUUAAAGUUGAUAAAAAUUUAAUCCUUAAAUAGACAUUCACUGGUCUACCCAAGCCAGCACAUACCAUUCCUUCACCUCUGCAGGAGAAACAAUAAUAACCAGCAAUAAUAACUUAUAAAAUAAAUACAAAAUCAAAGAAAAGCUUCUUCACAAUGGAUCCUUGAACCAUAAGCACAAAAACAUACAAAAUGAACAAGAUCAAUUGAGAAAAAAAAACAUUUCAAACUAUAUGAACCCGAUGAACACCCCCCUCCCCCCUCCAAAUGGAUCACUCCAACAGGGUUUUUACUGAGAAUGUAUUUUCCCCAGGCAUCAUUUAAGGACAGCCCAAAAAGAGCUUGGGUCUUUUCCCAGACCUGGAAGUACUGCAAAUCAUGUAAGUUAUGUAUGUUCUAAACCUGCUGCUAAUAUGAUAUGAAAUCCAGUAGUAUUCUUUAACUGUAAAUGGUGAUAGUAUGUACCAUGCCAGCAAGGGCUGGGAUUGCAGUGAGAAGUAAACAGCAGCAUUAGCUCAUAAAAUGGUGAGAGAGAUAGUGUAUGAACUAUUGCAAGACUAGAGCAGGGACGGAUUGAGACUGAAAGAAGAGGUAAAUAUGAAGGGAAAUAGAUUUAACUAGGGAAACUAGUUUGUUUGUUCUGUCACACCAAUAUUUCAUUGAAAAUAUUACAAAGACAACAUAUGAAUGUUGAAAC